rnacentral:tRNA from 1 species
AGUGUGAUGGCUGAAAAUUAGGCGCUAGAUUGUAAAUCUAAUUAUGGGGAGCCCCCCUCACACUA